rnacentral:sRNA from 1 species
UGAUAAAGCCCGUGAAACAUUAGUAGAAAAUACCAUAGCUGAGGCCACUGCAGCAGCAAUUAAAGUUGUGAAAGAAAAGCUUCUCAGGGAACUGCAAGCUAGAAAACAAGCUGAAACAGGUUUAAGAGAAUUUCAAAGGCAAUAUGAAAAAAUGGAGUUUGGAGUAUUCCCAGUGGAGGCAACACACUCAUCAAUUGAUGAAGAAGGGUACAUUCAAGGCUCCCAAAGGGACAGAAGCAGCUCUUUAGUGGACACCGAAGAAGCCAAAACAAAGUCAGAAAAUGUCCUCCAUGAUCAAGCUGCUAAAGUUGAUAAAGAUGAUGGAAAAGAAACUGGUGAAACAUCCUCAUUUAAAAGGCAUUCUCAAGAUGCUAGUCAAGAUGUAAAGUUGUAUUCAGAUACAGCCCCAACAGAAGACUUGAUAGAAGAGGUAACUGCAGAUCAUCCAGAGGUUGUAACCAUGAUUGAAGAGACUAUAAAAAUGUCACAGGAUAUAAACUUUGAACAGCCAUAUGAAAAACACGCUGAAAUCUUACAGGAAGUCCUUGGAGAGAUAAUGGAAGAAAACAAGGAUAGGUUUCCUGGUGCCCCAAAAUAUGGAGGCUGGAUUGUGGACAACUGCCCUAUUGUAAAAGAAUUGUGGAUGGCCUUAAUCAAGAAAGGAAUUAUACCUGAUUUGGUCAUCUAUUUAUCAGAUACAGAAAACAAUGGAAAAUGUUUAUUUAAUAGAAUAUAUUUACAGAAGAAAUCUGAAAUUGACUCUAAGAUUUUAGAAAGAUUAUUAGAAGAGCUACAAAAGAAAAAAAAAGAAGAAGAAGCAGCAAGAAAAGCCACAGAAGAGGAAUUGAGACUCGAAGAAGAAAAUCGAAGGCUACUGGAACUUAUGAAAGUGAAGGCAAAAGAAGCUGAAGAGACUGAUAAUGAGGAUGAAGAGGAGAUUGAAGGUGAUGAGUUGGAAGUUCACGAAGAGCCUGAGGCAUCUCACGAUACCCGAGGGUCAUGGUUACCUGAGGAGUUUGAAGCAUCUGAGGUCCCUGAAACUGAGCCUGAAGCAGUAUCUGAGCCUAUCGAGGAGACUACAGUGGAAACAGAAAUCCCAAAAGGAUCCAAAGAGGGCCUGGAAAUUGGAAAAUUAUCUGAAACAGUUGUACUACCUGAGUUUCCAGAAGACUCUUAUCCUGAUGUUCCCGAAAUGGAGCCAUUUAAAGAGAAGAUUGGUUCUUUCAUCAUCCUCUGGAAACAGCUAGAAGCAACAAUUAGUGAGGCUUACAUUAAAAUUUUAAACUUGGAGAUUGCUGACAGAACUCCACAGGAAUUACUUCAAGAAGUGGUUGAGACUAUGGAAAAACCAUUUCAAUAUACUGCAUGGGAGUUAACUGGGGAAGAUUAUGAGGAAGAAACAGAAGACUACCAGACUGAAGCAGAGGUUGAUGAGGAGCUAGAGGAAGAGGAAGAGGAAGAGGGUGAAGAUAAAAUGAAGGAGAGAAAGAGGCAUUUGGGAGACACAAAACACUUUUGUCCGGUGGUCCUCAAAGAAAACUUCAUCCUGCAACCAGGAAACACAGAAGAAGCAGCCAAGUAUCGAGAAAAGAUCUACUACUUUUCAAGUGCUGAGGCUAAAGAAAAGUUUUUGGAGCAUCCUGAGGAUUAUGUGGCUCAUGAAGAACCAUUGAAGGUGAGACAGUAUUCCUAUCUUAAUGAUUGCUCCCACAGGAUUUUUUUGGGACUGAUUACAAAUCACCAUCAAUUUACUUAAGGGUGAAAUCCCCAAUCUGAU